UACGGAGGGUGCGAGCGUUAUCCGGAAUUACUGGGUUUAAAGGGUGCGUAGGCGGCUAUGUAAGUCAGGAGUGAAAGUUUGCGGCUCAACCGUAAAAUUGCUUUUGAUACUGCAUGGCUGGAGUUAGGAUGAGGUCAGCGGAAUGUGGCAUGUAGCGGUGAAAUGCAUAGAUAUGCCAUAGAACACCAAUUGCGAAGGCAGCUGGCUAGACCUGGAUUGACGCUGAGGCACGAAAGCGUGGGGAGCAAACAGG
rnacentral:rRNA from 1 species